AGUGGCCCGGGCGGCCUAGGAAGGGGAAGAGCCGAGUUGCCCCAGCCCCGCACCCCCAGCCCCAGCCCCGCGUGCAGCUCGCACCCCUUCCCACGCCUGUUCGGGGGAGAGCCCCGGGCCUGGAGUGGGAAGCCUGGCUCCAGCUCUGGUUACCUGCAGUGACUCCCCAGGCCGUUUAGGCGAGUCCAUUGGGCCGCCUCUGCCUCGGUUUCCCCACCUAACCACGGAAGGUGCUCCUCCCUUCCAGGCAUCUGUGGUCUUCGAGCUCCACGCGGGAGAGGCGCCGGUCUGGCACCUCCUGCCCAGGGUCGGCGCCUCCUGGCUCUCGGGGAGGGGGGCAUCCUCCAUCCCCUGCACCUGCCUCGAGAGGAACCAGGGACAGAGCACCCCCACCCCCACCAGGAGCUCCGGAAAAACGGCUUCAGAAGAGCAAAUAUACACACACACCCACCUCCCGCCCCAAACAUCCCCGAAGAAAGGUAACCACAGAAACAGCCAGAAAUGUGGAGCUGGGCGAUCGUAUGAGGCUGAGACAAAACUGUCUUUCUAGCGUCUCUAGGGGAGAGCUUGAAUCCCUCCUUCCACUCCUCCUCCACGGAAAACAGAGUGAACUCCUGCUACAGAGGCCGCCAGAGCAACAUGCAAGACCAGCUUUGAGGGGAGCGGGCACAGGGCCUUGCAGGGAAGGUGGGCCGAGCCCAGACCCCUCAUUCUUACUUGGCUCUGAAGGCGGAAAGGCAAAGCUAGACCUCGAGGAAGUUCCCCUCCCUGUGGGCCCUACAGUGAAGAUUACAUGAAGGCAUGUGGGCGGUGGACCAGAGUGCACCGACUGAUGAAGGCGGCCCGGUACCCGCGGGUGCCAUGCCUCCUUCUUAGCCAAGGCCACUCUAGCUCCCCGUGAAGUAUCCAGGUAGAAGGCUGGUGGGGUUACAGGAGUGUAUCUCUCUCAGAUGAGAUACAAGUUGGUCCCUUCCCUUGCGUCCCUCCUGUUCCUUCAAGAGGAGGACUGUCUACCCACCCCGAAGCUUCAUGGAGAGAGAGCACACCGUCGUUAUUCAAUAUGUAGUUUUGAAUUUAACUAGAGCAAAGAAGAAAGCAAAUUCAGGUAAGAUGUUGUAUAAUUUCCUGGGGCUAAUGUAACAAGCACCUCCAACUGGGCAACUUAAACAACAGAAAUGUGUUGUUUUGUAGCUCUGGAGGCUGGAAGUCCAAGAUCAAAGUGUUGGCAGGGCUGGCCCCUUUGGAGAGAUGUGGGGGGCAGUUUGUUUCAUGUCUGUCUCUUAGCUUCUGGUAACCUCAUGCAUUCCUUGGCUUAUGGAUGGCCAUGUGCGCUCCCUGUGAAUUCACAUCUUCUCUAUAUACCUGUCUCUUUUCCCUUUUCAUAAGGACACAGUCAUUAUUGGAUUAGGGCACACCCUAAUGACCUCAUCUUAACUUGAUCAUCUGUGCAGACCCAAUUUCCAAAUAAGGUCACAUUCACAGGUACCAAGGGUUAGAAGUUCAGCAUCUUUUGAGGGAAACAAUUCAACCCAUAACAGGUGUCAUGCUAGAUAAACAAUUUGUUUUUCAUAUGAUGACUGUAAACAAGACAGAAGUAAUUCUGAUUGUUCUUAAUAUCUGACUUAGUUUUAUGACAAUUUUUUUCUAACUUUUAUUAUAAUAUACACAUAACAUAAAAUUUAUCAUCUUAAUCCUUUUAAAGUGAACAGCUCAGUGGUAUUAAAUACAUUAAUGAUGUGCAACCAGCACCACCAUCCAUCUCCAGAACUCUUUUCAUCUUGUAAAACUGAAACUCUAUACCCAUUAAAUAAUGACUACCUCUCUAAUACCUUACAUAAGUGGAAUCAUACAGUAUUUCCUUUUUGCAACUGGAUUAUUUCACUUAGCAUAAUGUCCUCAAGAUUCAUCUAUGAUGUAGUGUAUGUCCAAAUUUCCUUCCUUUUUAAGGCUGAGUAAUAUUUCCAUGUGUGUGUAUACCACAUUGUGUUUACCCACUCGUUUGUCAAGAAAUCAUUGGGUUGCAUCCACAUUUUAGCAAUUAUGAAUAAUGCUGCGACGAACAUGGGUGCACAAAUAUCUUUUCAAGAUCUUAUUUUCAGUUGUUUUGGGUAUAUACCCAGAAGUGGAAUUGCUGGAUUAUGUGGUCAUUCUAUUUUUAAUUUUUUGAAGAAGCAUCAUAAUAAUACUUUCCACAGUGUACCAUUCUACAUUCUGCCAAACAGUGCACAGGGUUCCAAUUUCUUCACAUCCUCACCGCCAGCACUUUGUUGUUGUUGUUGUUGUUGUUGUUGUUGUUGUUGUUGUUGUUGUUUUUGAGACGGAGUCUUGCUCUGUCACCCAGGCUGGAGUGCAGUGGUGUGAUCUCGGCUCACUGCAAGCUCUGCCUCGUGGGUUCACGCCAUUCUCCUGCCUCAGCCUCCCGAGUAGGUGGAACUACAGGCGUGCGCCACCAGGUCUGGCUAAUUUUUGUAUUUUUAGUAGAGACGGGGUUUCACCAUGUUGGCCAGGCUGGCCUCCAACUCCUGACCUCAAGUGAUCUUCCCACCGCAGCCUCCCAAAGUGCUGGGAUUACAGGCGUGAGACACCGCACCAGCCCGAUUUUGCUUUUUGAUGCACCAAAUUUUUAUGAAAUCCAAUUUGUCUAUUUUUCUGUGUUGUCUGUGUCUUUAAUGUCAUAUCCAAGAAAUCACUGCCAAAUCCAACAUUGUGGAGAUUUUGCUCCAAGUUUUCUUCUAAAAAUUCUAUAGUUUUAGGUUACUUUUAGGUCUUUGAUCUAUUUUGAGUUAAUUUUUGUAUAUGGUGUUAGGUAAGGGUCCAGCUUCAUUCUUUUGCAUGUAGAUAUCCAGUUUUCCCAGCACCAUUUGUUGAAAAAGCUGUCCUUUUGCCAUUAAGUGAUCAUGGCACCCUUGCCAAAAAUCAUUUGACCAUAUAUUCAAGGGUUUGUUUCUGGGCUCUCUAUUCUAUUCUAUUGAUCUAUAUGUCAAGCUUUAUUCCAGUGCCACACUGUUUUGAUUACUGUAGCUUUGUGGUAAGUUUUGAAAUCAGGAAGUGUGAGUCCUCCAGCCUUGUUCUUUUUCAAGAUUGUUUUGGCUGUUCAGGGCCCCUUGAGAUUCCAUAUGAAUUUUAGGAUGGGUUUUUCUAUUUCUGCAAAAAAUGUCAUUGGGAUUUGGACUUUAUUGUUUCUGAAGUACCUUUACAUACACUAUCUCCGACAUUCUAAAGAUUGUUUCCAUAUUUUACAGAUGAGGAAAGCUAUACUUGGAAAAAUGAAAUGUCCAAGGCCACAUAUUAGAAUCAGCAACAGCCAGGUUUAACAGCCAGAUUCAGUGUCAUUGUGCUGGGCCCACACAGGCUCUGGAAGAAAUACUAUUCUUUUUUUAAUUCCUUGUAGCACUUUAAUACUUGAGUGUAUAUCCACCAGGGAGAAUCUUGCAAAUAACAUUGUUCCAGCGCACAAACUCCUGCCCCAGAAUGUUUGAGGAAGUAGAGGCUAGCUUGUUUCUAGGUACUCUUUUGAUUCUAUUCCCCAGUUUCAUUUGUAAUUACAGAGUGGAGAAAUGCAGCUGCUGGGAAUAGCAUGGGUGACGCUGACUUAGGGUAGAGGCAGCAUCUCUGGCCACCCAACCUUCCCCUGACCCCAGGAGCUCACAGGCGGAGGAAAUGCCCUGAUAACUCCCCAGCAGCAGCUGCAGCAGGAAACCAAAGCCGUGCCUGGAAAGGGGAGAGUUGGAAAUUUACCAUGACCAGUCAGCCAGCAGAAUCACUGGAUCCUGCCUCAAAUCUGUAGAUGGACCAGAGCUGGGAAAAUUGGAUCAUUAGGUCAGCUUGUUUAUCCCUGAGGCACGCUGUUUUGUAACCACUCCUGAUACAGAUGCUGUGGCCCAUGGCUCAUCCAGGAAGUGUGACUCAGAGGCAGGUUCCGAUGCCACCCCCCCACCCCCGCUCUUUCCCCUUCAUCCUUGCAAGCUCAAGAUAAACUAAAAUAUCCCCUCCCCUGCUGUGGACCACCACCACCCCAAUUCCUUUGUUGAAGCCCUAACCUCUAAUGUAAUUGUAUUUGGAGAUAGGACUUUUAGGAGGUACUUAACGUUAAAGGAGUUGUAAGUCAUAGGAUUGGUGGUCUUAGAAAGGAAGAGAGAAAAAUCUUUCUCCCUCUCCAUGCACCAAGGAAAGGCCAUGCGAGAACACAGCACAAAGGUGACUGUCUACAAGCCAGAAAGUGGGCCCUUACCAGAAAAGGAAUCAGCCAGCAGUGCCUUGAUCUUGAACUUCCAGCCUUCGGAACUCUGAGAAAUAACUUUCUGUUGUUGAAGCCACCCAGUCUGUGGUAUUUCGUCAUGGCAGUCUAAGCAUAAGACAGGAAGCAUGUCCUGGUACAUUUUCUUCUAUUUCCCAUUCCGUAUGCCCUCUGCCUCUCUCUAAUCUCAAGGCCGGGGUCCUGGGACACUGCCCGGCAGGACUAGGGACGUUAAGGACCUGGUUUUGUUUCUUGAGCAGUGCCUUACCCUCUUGCCCUGCUUCCCUGACCCCUCUACCCGACCGUGGCUGCUGGGGAACAGGGCGGGGUAUGGGCCGGAGCGGGACUUGCCAGGGGAGGGCUCCAGAACUGCACUGUCCACUCACCGAGCGGCCUUUGGAGGUACCCAGGAAAAUGAACAGGACUCCAAGUCAGAUAACCCUGGACUCCCAGGCUCUUCUAUAAAGUAGACAGCUUGACCUACGAACUACCUCUUGGGGGGGUCGAGAGCCUUAAAUGAGCUAACAUUGGAUGCUCUCAAAAAAAAAAAAAAAAAAAAAAAAGAAAACUCAAUGCCUGUAACCCCACCACUUUGGGAGGCCGAGGCAGGUGGAUCACUUGAGCCCAGGAGUUUGAGACCAGCCUGGGCAACAUGGUGAAACCCCAUCUCUACUAAAAUUACAGAAAUUAGCCAAGCCUGGUGGCGCAUGCCUGUAGUCCCAGCUACUUGGGAGGCUGGGGUGGGAGAAUGGCUUGAAUCCGGGAGGUGGAGGUUGCAGUGAGUCCAGAUCAUGCCACUGUACUCCAGCCUGGGUGACAGAGCCAGACCUUGUCUCAAAAAAACCCAAAAAACAGCUGCUUUCCUCCUCCCCCACUCGCUGUUCCCUCCUCCUCAUUAGCAAACUUAAAGCAUUCCCUUUAGCAACCCUGAUUAGGCCCCAAUCCAGGGUCCCAAUUUUCUAAUUUGUAAAAUGUGCAUAUGAAUCAUGUCUCGCUUGGAUUAAAAGAGGCAAUGUGUGCAAAGGGCCUCUGGUGAGGUAGCUCCUCAAGAAGUGAUGGGCAUGUUACUUCGUUGUCAUGUCCUCACCCUCAUCAUCAUCCUCCCACUGACUGACCACUCUGCCCACACAAAUAAAGAAAGCCAUCGCAGCCAUCAGUCGGAGCCCACCGGUGCUGGCCCAGCUCAGCAUACGCUAUCGGCAUCACCUGAGCAGACACCCAACCUCUCUGAGUUCCUUUCCCCCUGAGGGCUCUCUCUCAGAUGACCCAAGGGAGGGAGGCCAAGGCACCAAGGAAUGGGAAAUGGCUUUGUAAAAUGUGAAAUGUGCUCCUGGACUACACAUCUUCAAGUAGUGUCAGAGGCAUUUGAACCAGAGUGACUCCAUCUUGAGGAGGAGCUGGGUAAAAUAAGGCUGAGACCUGCUGGACUGCAUUCUCUGGCGGUUAGGCAUUCUAAGUCACAGGAUGAGAUAGGAGGUCGACACAAGGUACAGGUCACAAAGACCUUGCUGAUAAAACACGUUGCGGUAGGCCUCCUGGUACUUACCCACAGGCUGCGUUCUUACACUGGCUGUACAGAAAGAGGAGCUAGAGUAAACCUACCUAAUAUACACCUCAGCCCAGGCCCUGUGCCUGGUCUGUAUUGUGAAUGGGGGGGACAUAGAAAAGAAAAAAUAAAUGAAAAACAAAAAAUAAAACAGGUUGCAGUGAAGAACCUGGGCAAAACCCACCAAAACCAAGAUGGCGACAAGAGUGACCUCUGGUCAUCCUCACUGCUCAUUAUAUGCUAAUUGUAAUGUGUUAGCCGGCUAAAAUACACUCCCACUAGUGCCACGACAGUUUACAAAUGCCAUGGCAACAUCAGGAAGUUACCAUAUAUGGUCUAUAAGGGAGAAGAGCUCUGAGUUCUGGGAGUUGCCCAUGUCUUUCCUGGGAAGUUCAUGAAUAAUCCACCCCUUGUUUAGCAUAUAAUCAAGAAAUAACUAUAAGUAUAAUCAGUUGAGCAGCCCAUGCCCCUGCGCUCUGCCUAUGGAGUAGCCAUUCUUUAUUCCUUUACUUUCCUGAUAAACUUGCUUUCACUUUACUCUGUGGACUGGCUCCCAAUUCCUUCUUGUGCGAGGUCCAAGAACCCGCUCUUAGGGUCUGGAUUGGGACCCCUUUGUGGUGACAGUAGUGGCUCCACAGAGUUGGGUUGGACUUCUGUGCCCUUGCUGGUUUACACAGUGGGGUGGAGGCAAGCCUGAGGCCAUGACACAUGGUUGUCCAGUACAGGUUGGGACGCCACAUCAGCGGCAGCUCAGGCCCCAACAUGGAAGUCAGAAGCCCCAGCCGGGGGCUCCGCACAACACACAGACAUCUUUUCCAUGUCAGUGGAGAGAGGGGAGUAGCCCAGAGUCUGGCUGGCUGCAGAACGCUCAUGCUAAAACACAAAACCCAAAGCCAAACACAAGCAGCAGCUCUGACCUCUGCUUCAAACCAGUUUGAACCGGAAAAGGCUGCCUGCCUUUCCAGCUCUGCUUCUGAUGAUGGUUCCUGUUCUGGGAGCUAGAGCUCCUGGUGCAUAUGCCAAGGACGUGCCCUGCAAGGAACAGUAGGUGAAUUUCUCCCUGAAACAUAUAGCUCCAUGACUAAUGGGGGAUGGACAUAAUGUUAAUCAUAUAUGUAUAUAUACAUAUUAUUACUUCAACAUGUAAUCAAUCUAAAAAUUAUGAAUGAGAUAUUUUGUAUUUUUUUAUACUACUGUCUUUGAAAUUCAGUGUGUGUUCUACACUUACAGCAUUUCUUAAUUUGGAUUAGCUGCAAUUCAAGUGCUUGAUAGUCAUAUGUGGCUAGUGGCUAACACAUUGGACAGCACACAUAGAGACCUGUGAAUGCAAAACUUUAGGGUACAUCAGAAUCCCCUGCGGGGCUUGUUAAAAUGCUGAUUGCUAGGCCCCACCCCCAGAGUUUCAGAUUCAGCAAGUCUGGAGUGUUGCCUGGGAAUUUGCAUUUCUGACAAGUUUCUAUGUAAUGCUGCUGGUCCAGGCACCACACUUUGAGAACUACUGGCCUAGAUAGUC
rnacentral:lncRNA from 1 species